UACGUAGGUGGCAAGCGUUGUCCGGAUUUACUGGGCGUAAAGAGCGCGCAGGCGGUCGUUCAAGUCGCGUGUGAAAGCCCCCGGCUCAACUGGGGAGGGUCACGCGAUACUGAUCGACUCGAAGGCAGGAGAGGGAAGUGGAAUUCCCGGUGUAGUGGUGAAAUGCGUAGAUAUCGGGAGGAACACCUGUGGCGAAAGCGGCGCACUGGACCAUAACUGACGCUGAUGCGCGAAAGCUAGGGGAGCAAACAGG
rnacentral:rRNA from 1 species